rnacentral:rRNA from 1 species
GAUGAACGCUAGCUACAGGCUUAACACAUGCAAGUCGCGGGGCAGCAUGGGGGUUGCUUGCAAUCCCCGAUGGCGACCGGCGCACGGGUGAGUAACGCGUAUCCAACCUGCCCUUCACCACGGGAUAACCCGGCGAAAGUCGGACUAAUACCGUAUGUUGUCCAUUGACGGCAUCCGAUUUGGACGAAAGGUUUGGCGGUGAAGGCUGGGGAUGCGUCCGAUUAGCUGGACGGCGGGGUGACGGCCCACCGGGGCGACGAUCGGUAGGGGUUCUGAGAGGAAGGUCCCCCACACUGGAACUGAGGCACGGUCCAGACUCCUACGGGAGGCAGCAGUGAGGAAUAUUGGUCAAUGGGCGUAAGCCUGAACCAGCCAAGUAGCGUGCAGGAUGACGGCCCUAUGGGUUGUAAACUGCUUUUAUGCGGGGAUAAAGUGGCCCACGUGUGGGUUUUUGCAGGUACCGCAUGAAUAAGGACCGGCUAAUUCCGUG